rnacentral:rRNA from 1 species
UGGGGAAUUUUGGACAAUGGGCGAAAGCCUGAUCCAGCAAUGCCGCGUGUGUGAAGAAGGCCUUCGGGUUGUAAAGCACUUUUGUCCGGAAAGAAAUCCUUGGCUCUAAUACAGUCGGGGGAUGACGGUACCGGAAGAAUAAGCACCGGCUAACUACGUGCCAGCAGCCGCGGUAAUACGUAGGGUGCAAGCGUUAAUCGGAAUUACUGGGCGUAAAGCGUGCGCAGGCGGUCUGCUAAGACCGAUGUGAAAUCCCCGGGCUCAACCUGGGAACUGCAUUGGUGACUGGCAGGCUAGAGUAUGGCAGAGGGGGGUAGAAUUCCACGUGUAGCAGUGAAAUGCGUAGAGAUGUGGAGGAAUACCGAUGGCGAAGGCAGCCCCCUGGGCCAAUACUGACGCUCAUGCACGAAAGCGUGGGGAGCAAACAGGAUUAGAUACCCUGGUAGUCCACGCCCUAAACGAUGUCAACU